GCCUUGGUGGUGAAAUGGUAGACACACAGGACUUAAAAUCCUGUGGGAGUAAUCCCGUGCCGGUUCGAGUCCGGCCCGAGGCA
rnacentral:tRNA from 1 species